AGUAACUAUUGGAAACGAUAGCUAAUAACCGCAUAAGAGUAGAUGUUGCAUGACAUUUGCUUAAAAGGUGCAAUUGCAUCACUACCAGAUGGACCUGCGUUGUAUUAGCUAGUUGGUGGGGUGACGGCUCACCAAGGCGACGAUACAUAGCCGACCUGAGAGGGUGAUCGGCCACACUGGGACUGAGACACGGCCCAGACUCCUACGGGAGGCAGCAGGG
rnacentral:rRNA from 1 species